rnacentral:lncRNA from 1 species
AAUGAUUGAUGGCAACUCUAAGCACCAAAGUAGCUCAGUUUCCUUUGCAUGUAAGGAUUCAAAACCAAUUCGUCAAUUCCAUACACCAAACUUUUCUCAAAAAAGCAAUUAAAAAACAAAAAAAAAAAAAGCAUUCUGAUAUGUAUUAUUGUAAGCAUUAAUCCCUCUGAUUUCGUUCCUUUUUUUAUGUUUAUUAUAACCAAAAGGACAAAAAAGCACUCACAAAAACAAAACAUCACUACUCUCUGUUCUGUUCUGUUCUGUUCCUUUCUUUUUCUUUAUUCAAUUGUUUUCUUUUUCCUUUCUUUCUUGUUGAUAGAGCAAUUCCAAAACCUCUGUCUCAAUCAAAGUAUAAUUUUUUUUGGAUAUUUCUAUAACCCCAUUUCAAAAAGAUGACAACUUUAGCUUCCUUAACUCUUCACUCAACCUCUAAAUGCUGCUUUGUUUUCUGGGUCAAGAACAAAACUCAUAAAGGAACAAACUUUAACAUUGCAUUGGUGAUUGUGUUGUUGGUGUUGGUGUUUGUGUUUCUGGUUGUGACAGAAACAUGGCUAGCACCAGUGGAACAAAGGG